UACGUAAGGGGCGAGCGUUGUCCGGAAUCAUUGGGCGUAAAGCGCGUGUAGGCGGUCCGGUAAGUCCGCUGUGAAAGUCGGGGGCUCAACCCUCGGAUGCCGGUGGAUACUGUCGGGCUUGAGUACGGAAGAGGCGAGUGGAAUUCCUGGUGUAGCGGUGAAAUGCGCAGAUAUCAAGGAGGAACACCAAUUGCGAAGGCAGCUCGCUGGGACGUUAACUGACGCUGAGACGCGAAAGCGUGGGGAGCAAACAGG
rnacentral:rRNA from 1 species